rnacentral:lncRNA from 1 species
AGUAAAGAAGAAAAGGCAUAACCAGAAGAAUUGAGAAAAUUAAGUGAAUUUAUCCAGUUGAGGCAUGAUUGGAUUAAUUGAUUUUGCGUCUACGACGAAAGUUGAAGGUGAGGAAGGUGGGUUUUACUGAUUUGUCUGUGAGGUUAACGGAAGAUCCUUAUGGAUCUUGAUGGCCGUUGUGGAUCUCGUAUGGUUAAGCUUCCGAUUGAGCCAUCAGCCUUAACCAUCUCCAUGACUUGCUUCCUCCAGACUGGUUUGAAGAGGAUUAGAUCGGUUAUCGGAAUUUUGUCUUAGCUAGGAAGGAAGGGUUCGAGCUGAAGCAAAUUGUUUGCUAGGAUCGGGAGCCAUCUGCGACGUGCCGUAGUGUCGGAGCAGUAACCUUACUGGGAGAUAUGUAACUUGUUGGCGGAUUGGGGGAAAAGGAACGGAGGUUGGGAGUCGGAUGCUUCCCACCGUUGUCUAGAUACCCCGGUUCUUUGCAAAGUGGUGGAUCUCGCAUCUGCUGGUUCUAAUGGUGGUUUUCUGCAUCUACGGUGUCAAUAGGUUCCAGAGCUUCUUUUCCGGCGACGUCUUAAUUUUUCCGAUUUCCUUUAGCUUCUGUGUUUCAAAUGCAUGUGACGGUCCAGCACAUUUAAGUGGGUAAAAUUAAGAAAAUAAGGUCCAUUAAGAUAAAAUUAAUAUGUUAAAAACAAAAAGACUUAGCAUUCCAUCCCAUCUAUUAUGCUUGAAAGUUUUAGUGUCAUAAAUUCAACUGGUUUUCAUUUAAUUAA